GGAAAAACUCAUAAAGCUUCAAAAAGAGAGGCAGAUGCUGGCCAGUUGAAGGAUCCGGGCAGGCCAUGAGCUGCAGUGAAAUGUCCUCUCACGAAUGCCUAAAGGAGAAGGGAAUUGAGCCCCUCAUCCAUUUUGACCAGGUGAGUCUUCACUACCAGCAGAUGGCUGGUGGACACCUGGAAGGAAACCUGGCGGCUCUGCACCCCC